GUGCUUACACCGGGAGAUGGUGUUCCUGUUGCAGACGGUAGAUUUGUGGUUACUACUGGAGAUGGUCCUCCAGUUGCAGAAGGUAGACCAGUGCUUACACCUGGAGAUG